AAGGCCGUGAGGGUCUGCAGUCCGAGAUGG
rnacentral:piRNA from 1 species